CUGGCAAGUGUUUCCUGAGAGUCAGCACAAAGGAGCUGUGUUCCAGAGGCGGCCAAGGUUGUACCUCAGGCUGGGAGCUGGACUUGCUAAUGUGUCACAGAUGGUACAGGUUUUGAAGGCAUGAAGGGGUCAUGGAGAGCAGCUGAGGCUUGGCACUGAGAGGCCAGGAGAGGCCACUGGUGAAGGUGCAGCCUCAGUGGCAGUUGAAGGCCCAGGACUGAAGGGGUCAUGCGAAGAAGUUGAGGUUUGGCACCAUGAGGAGAGCCUGUGAGAGGCUAUUGGUGAAAGCGCAGUCCAGCUGCAGCAGAGACCCCAGCACUUUGGAGAUGCCAGCACCUGGGAUGACCACCAAGAACAGCAGCAGCAGGGGAGUGGAACCUGCUGGGGCCUAGAAGACGAGCUGUGUGUGCUGCAGAGGGCGGAGCCGGAGAGGUGACCCAGGCACUUCGGAGAAGCCCAGAAGAUUGGGAGUGGAUCCCAGACACUGGACACUCCAUUAUUUACACGUUGGGGGAUUUCGUUUUGCUUUGUUCGGAUUGUGAUUGUGUCCUGGUUCUUCCCUCUUGAAGUAAGAAAGUACUUAAUUUGUUUUUGAUUUUACAGGAGUCCCCAGUUGAGAGAUUUUAACCUUGUUUAAAAAGAGGUUUUGGAGUUUUACAGAGAAUUUGGAUUUUAAAAAAGACUGGAUAUUUUUAAGGAGUUCAAAUGUGUAAGGCUGUGGGACUUUUAUGUUUGUAAAGUGGUUUAUAUUGUGAUGUGUUUAUUAAUGUGUGAUCUCGGGGAUGAGCAAGAAAGGAAACGUUGUGGCUUAAAAAAAAAAAGAGUUCAAGGUCACCCUCAA